rnacentral:rRNA from 1 species
AGUGAACGCUGGCGGUAGGCCUAACACAUGCAAGUCGAACGGCAGCACAGUAAGAGCUUGCUCUUACGGGUGGCGAGUGGCGGACGGGUGAGGAAUACAUCGGAAUCUACUUUUUCGUGGGGGAUAACGUAGGGAAACUUACGCUAAUACCGCAUACGACCUACGGGUGAAAGCAGGGGAUCUUCGGACCUUGCGCGAUUGAAUGAGCCGAUGUCGGAUUAGCUAGUUGGCGGGGUAAAGGCCCACCAAGGCGACGAUCCGUAGCUGGUCUGAGAGGAUGAUCAGCCACACGGGAACUGAGACACGGUCCAGACUCCAACGGGAGGCAGCAGUGGGGAAUAUUGGACAAUGGGCGCAGGCCUGAUCCAGCCAUACCGCGUGGGUGAAGAAGGCCUUCGGGUGGUAAAGCCCUUUUGUUGAGAAAGAAAAGCAGCAGGGUAAUACCCCGCUGUUCUGACGGUACCCAAAGAAUAAGCACCGGCUAACUUCGUG